rnacentral:rRNA from 1 species
UACGAAGGGUGCAAACGUUGCUCGGAAUUAUUGGGCGUAAAGCGCACGUAGGCGGCUUUGCAAGUCCCAUGUGAAAUCCCACGGCUUAACCGUGGAAGUGCAUGGGAAACUGCAGAGCUUGAGUACUUAAGAGGAUCGCGGAAUUCCCGGUGUAGAGGUGAAAUUCGUAGAUAUCGGGAGGAACACCAGUGGCGAAGGCGGUUGCCUGGAGCUUUGCUGACGCUGAUGCGCGAAAGCGUGGGGAGCGAUCCGG